rnacentral:rRNA from 1 species
UACGAAGGGGGCUAGCGUUGUUCGGAAUUACUGGGCGUAAAGCGCGCGCAGGCGGUCUUCCAAGUCAGUGGUGAAAGCCCGGAGCUCAACUCCGGAACUGCCAUUGAAACUGUUGGACUUGAGUACGAGAGAGGUGAGUGGAAUUCCCAGUGUAGAGGUGAAAUUCGUAGAUAUUGAGAAGAACACCGGUGGCGAAGGCGGCUCACUGGCUCGUAACUGACGCUCAGGCGCGACAGCGUGGGGAUCAAACAGG